CUCACAUUCACUUGUACCCAACCCUACAUUCAGUCUUUACACAAACACCCUACACUCACAACACUCAUCCACCCCACACUCAUUAACAUCAUUUAGACAUCUGAAAACACACACAUUCCUCAAAUAUCACACUCAACCUCAUUUGCUCAGAGGAGCACUGUGAUAUAGUCAUGUACUCUGCACAUAGCUGAGUUUUAUUGUGGAGCUCUGUGAUACACUCAUGCACACUACACAUUACUGUAAGUUUUGUUGCUAUGAAGGUCUGUUACACUUCUACACAAUCUGGUGCAGAUCACUUUAAGAGGUACCUCAGGCUCUAGGUGUUUCUCACUGACUCAAAGUGCUAUAUCUAGCUCUCUGAAUGCCAGGACUGCGAGGGAAGUGAUCUGCACAGGAUAGAGGCGCAGUCUACAAUGCUCCCCCCUGGACAAUCAGGGAUCCUGUGCAGAACGCACUCCACUGGACCAUGAGGGAUAAGACCCCCCUCCUGCCAAAACGUAAGAUGGAGGGGGCAAAUAAAAAAAACUUACUCACAACAUUCAACCUGCACAUACAGGUAUACAUCUGGAGUGCCAAAGCUUGCCUACCCCGGGUAUAGAGUAUCAGCAUAUUUAG